GACGUAGGGGGCCAGCGUUGUUCGGAAUUACUGGGCGUAAAGCGUGCGCAGGCGGUUUUGUAAGCCAGAUGUGAAAUCCCCGGGCUUAACCUGGGAAUGGCAUUUGGGACUGCAAGGCUGGAGUGCGGCAGAGGAGACUGGAAUUCCUGGUGUAGCAGUGAAAUGCGUAGAUAUCAGGAGGAACACCGAUGGCGAAGGCAGGUCUCUGGGCUGACACUGACGCUCAUGCACGAAGGCGUGGGGAGCAAACAGG
rnacentral:rRNA from 1 species